AAUUUUAAGGUCAAGCUACAAAGGGCGCAUGGUGAAUGCCUUGGCACUAGGAGCCGAAGAAGGACGCGAUAAGCUGCGAUAAGCCUUGGGUAGCCGCAAAUAGGCUGAGAUCCAGGGAUUUCCGAAUGAGGAAACUCACAUGGGUAACCCCAUGUAUUAUGCACUGAAUACAUAGGUGUAUGAGGGUAAACCCGGGGAACUGAAACAUCUAAGUACCCGGAGGAAGAGAAAGAAAAAUCGAUUUCCUAAGUAGCGGCGAGCGAACGGGAAAGAGCCCAAACCAGAAACUUGUUUCUGGGGUUGUGGAUAGAUCAUGAAAGAAGAGGUAUCUUAAUCGAAGAGGCUGGAACGCCCUACCAUAGAAGGUAAUAGUCCUGUAGGUAAAAAGAGAAAACUUCAAGAUCUAAUCCAGAGUACCACGAGACACGUGAAACCUUGUGGGAAGCAGGGAGGACCACCUCCCAAGGCUAAAUACUACCUAGUGACCGAUAGUGAAGCAGUACCGUGAGGGAAAGGUGAAAAGAACCCCGGAAGGGGAGUGAAAUAGAACCUGAAACCGUGUGCCUACAACCGAUCGGAGCACGUUAAAGUGUGACGAUGUGCUUUUUGUAGAACGAGCCAGCGAGUUACGCUAUGUAGCAAGGUUAAGUACUUAAGGUAUGGAGCCGAAGGGAAACCGAGUCUGAAAAGGGCGAAAAGUUGCAUGGUGUAGACCCGAAACCGGGUGACCUAUCCAUGGCCAGGUUGAAGCGAGAGUAAAAUCUCGUGGAGGACCGAACCACGUUGGUGUUGAAAAACCAUGGGAUGAGCUGUGGAUAGCGGAGAAAUUCCAAUCGAACUCGGAGAUAGCUGGUUCUCCUCGAAAUAGCUUUAGGGCUAGCGUCGUGUAAUUGAGUAAUGGAGGUAGAGCACUGAAUGGGCUAGGGGCUAUAGUAGUUACCGAACCCUAUCAAACUCCGAAUGCCAUAUACUUGUAUCACGGCAGUCAGACUGCGAAUGAUAAGAUCCGUAGUCAAAAGGGAAACAGCCCAGACCAUCAGCUAAGGUCCCAAAGUGUAAGUUAAGUGGAAAAGGAUGUGGGAUUUCUAAGACAACUAGGAUGUUGGCUUAGAAGCAGCCACUCAUUUAAAGAGUGCGUAAUAGCUCACUAGUCAAGAGAUCCUGCGCCGAAGAUGUCCGGGGCUCAAACUUACCACCGAAGCUAUGGGUGUACACUAUGUGUACGCGGUAGAGGAGCUUUCUGUAUGGGUUGAAGUCGUACCGUAAGGAGCGGUGGACUGUACAGAAGUGAGAAUGCUGGCAUAAGUAGCGAGAAAUAAGUGAGAAUCUUAUUGGCCGAAAACCUAAGGUUUCCUGGGGAAGGUUCGUCCGCCCAGGGUUAGUCGGGACCUAAGCCGAGGCCGAAAGGCGUAGGUGAUGGACAAUCGGUUGAUAUUCCGAUACCGCCUAUUUACGUUUGAGAAAUGGGGUGACGCAGUAGGAUAAGAUGUGCGCACUAUUGGAUGUGCGUCUAAGCAUUUAGGCAUGCUUGAUAGGUAAAUCCGUCAAGCUAAGCUGAGAUGUGAUGGGGAGCCAUUUAUGGCGAAGUAUCUGAUUCCACACUGCCAAGAAAAGCCUCUAUCGAGUGAAUAGGUGCCCGUACCGCAAACCGACACAGGUAGGUGAGGAGAGAAUCCUAAGGCCAUCGGAAGAAUUGCUGUUAAGGAACUCGGCAAAUUGACCCCGUAACUUCGGGAGAAGGGGUGCCUACGAAAGUAGGCCGCAGAGAAUAGGCCCAAGCAACUGUUUAGCAAAAACACAGGUCUCUGCUAAAGCGAAAGCUGAUGUAUAGGGCUGACGCCUGCCCGGUGCUGGAAGGUUAAGGGGAACACUUAGCGUAAGCGAAGGUGUGAACUUAAGCCCCAGUAAACGGCGGCCGUAACUAUAACGGUCCUAAGGUAGCGAAAUUCCUUGUCGGGUAAGUUCCGACCCGCACGAAUGGCGUAAUGAUUUGGGCACUGUCUCAACAGCAAAUCCGGCGAAAUUGUAGUGCAAGUGAAGAUGCUUGCUACCCGCGAUUGGACGGAAAGACCCCGUAGAGCUUUACUGUAGCUUAGCAUUGAAUCUCGGUAUUGUCUGUACAGGAUAGGUGGGAGACUU
rnacentral:rRNA from 1 species